GACGAACGCUGGCGGCGUGCUUAACACAUGCAAGUCGAGCGGUAAGGCCCUUUCGGGGGUACACGAGCGGCGAACGGGUGAGUAACACGUGGGCGACCUGCCCUCAGCUCUGGGAUAAGCCUGGGAAACCGGGUCUAAUACCGGAUAUGACUCCAUGACGCAUGUUGUGGGGUGGAAAGCCUUGUGCGGCUGAGGAUGGGCCCGCGGCCUAUCAGCUUGUUGGUGGGGUGAUGGCCUACCAAGGCGACGACGGGUAGCCGGCCUGAGAGGGCGACCGGCCACACUGGGACUGAGACACGGCCCAGACUCCUACGGGAGGCAGCAGUGGGGAAUCUUGCGCAAUGGGCGAAAGCCUGACGCAGCGACGCCGCGUGAGGGAUGACGGCCUGGUG
rnacentral:rRNA from 1 species